rnacentral:rRNA from 1 species
AACGAACGCUGGCGGCAUGCCUAACACAUGCAAGUCGAACGAGACCUUCGGGUUUAGUGGCUCACGGGUGCGUAACGCGUGGGAACCUGCCCUUAGGUUCGGAAUAACCCCCCGAAAGGGGUGCUAAUACCGGAUAAUGUCUUCGGACCAAAGAUUUAUUGCCUUUGGAUGGGCCCGCGUUGGAUUAGCUAGUUGGUAGGGUAAAAGCCUACCAAGGCGACGAUCCAUAGCUGGUCUGAGAGGAUGAUCAGCCACACUGGGACUGAGACACGGCCCAGACUCCUACGGGAGGCAGCAGUGGGGAAUAUUGGACAAUGGGCGAAAGCCUGAUCCAGCAAUGCCGCGUGAGUGAUGAAGGCCUUAGGGUUGUAAAGCUCUUUUACCCGGGAUGAUAAUGACAGUACCGGGAGAAUAAGCUCCGGCUAACUCCGUG